rnacentral:rRNA from 1 species
CACGCCCUAAACGAUGCACACUAGAUCGGUGCAGGUUUCACCCUGUAUUGGUCGUAGAGAAAUUGAUAAGUGUGCCGCCUGGGGAGUACGGUCGCAAGGCUAAAACUCAAAGAAAUUGACGGGGGCUCACACAAGCGGUGGAGCAUGUUGCUUAAUUCGAAGCAACGCGAAGAACCUUACCUGGGUUUGACAUGCACGGAUUAGUUCCUGGAAACAGGAAUGAGGCUCGCAAGAGUACAACGUGCACAGGUGC